UCUAUAUGAUGAUUAUCCUGAUAGGGACAUCUGAUGCUUUGCAUAUGAUGUUACCAGGAAGAGUAUUUUAGUAGAUGCCUCUUUAAUCUGAUGAC
rnacentral:snoRNA from 1 species